GUGCUCACUUUGGCAGCACAUAUACUAAAAUUGGAACAAUAGAGAAAGGAUUAGCAUGGCCCCUGCUCAAGGAUGACAUGCAAAUUCGUGAAGUCUUCCAUAUGAAA
ensembl:snRNA U6 U6 spliceosomal RNA